rnacentral:hammerhead_ribozyme from 1 species
AUCCAGCUGACGAGUCCCAAAUGGGACGAAACUUCGCGUCCUGGAU